rnacentral:tRNA from 1 species
GGGCAUGUAGCUCAACUGGUUAGAGCAUCUGUCUUAUACACAGAGGGUUCCUGGUUCGAGUCCAGGCAUGCCCACCA